GCAAGUCGAGCGGUAGCAGGUCCUUCGGGAUGCUGACGACCGGCGCACGGGUGCGUAACGCGUAUGCAACCUACCUCUAACUGGGGAAUAGCCCCGAGAAAUCGGGAUUAAUACCCCAUAAUAUUCAUCUUUCGCAUGUUAGAUGAAUUAAAGUUCCGACGGUUAGAGAUGGGCAUGCGUGACAUUAGUUUGUUGGUGAGGUAACGGCUCACCAAGACUUCGAUGUCUAGGGGUUCUGAGAGGAUUAUC
rnacentral:rRNA from 1 species